rnacentral:misc_RNA from 1 species
AUCUAAGAACAGGUUCAAGGUAAUACAUGAUUAUAUGGUAUGCUUCAUGUUGACAUCAUGAUAAAAUAAAUGCUUACAUAAUCUUUCUCUUUUUCCUUAUAAACAGUGAAAAGAGAAUAAUACUACAAGCAAGACAAAUAAAGUCAGGAUCCUCUCAAUAAGAAAUAAACAAAAGGUAAAGUCAAAAUUAACAUAGCAAACUUCUAAGACAGUUGAAUCUCCACUAAGGUAUCCCAUUAAAUUAAAUUCCCAGAAAGUAGAACACCAUA